AUCCAGAUGACGAGUCCGGAACAGGACGAAAUGCGCGUUGUCCUGGAU
rnacentral:hammerhead_ribozyme from 1 species